rnacentral:rRNA from 1 species
CGGAAGAUGUAACGGGGCUAAAACUAUAUGCCGAAGCUGCGGAUUUGCAAUUUAUUGCAAGUGGUAGGAGAGCGUUCUGUAAGCCUGUGAAGGUGCGUUGUAAAGCGUGCUGGAGGUAUCAGAAGUGCGAAUGCUGACAUGAGUAACGACAAUGGGUGUGAAAAACACCCACGCCGAAAGACCAAGGUUUCCUGCGCAACGUUAAUCGACGCAGGGUUAGUCGGUCCCUAAGGCGAGGCUGAAAAGCGUAGUCGAUGGAAAACAGGUUAAUAUUCCUGUACUUCUGGUUAUUGCGAUGGAGGGACGGAGAAGGCUAGGCCAGCUUGGCGUUGGUUGUCCAAGUUUAAGGUGGUAGGCUGGAAUCUUAGGUAAAUCCGGGAUUCUAAGGCCGAGAGCUGAUGACGAGUUAU